GAUGUUAAGAUGGGCCCUAGAAAGCUCCGCAAGCA
rnacentral:tRNA from 1 species